GGGGAUAACAUUGGAAACAGAUGCUAAUACCGCAUAACAACGAAAGCCACAUGGCUUUUGUUUGAAAGAUGGCUUUGGCUAUCACUCUGGGAUGGACCUGCGGUGCAUUAGCUAGUUGGUAAGGUAACGGCUUACCAAGGCGAUGAUGCAUAGCCGAGUUGAGAGACUGAUCGGCCACAAUGGAACUGAGACACGGUCCAUACUCCUACGGGAGGCAGCAGUAGGGAAUCUUCCACAAUGGGCGCAAGCCUGACGGAGCAACACCGCGUGAGUGAAGAAGGGUUUCGGCUCGUAAAGCUCUGUUGUUGGAGAAGAACGUGCGUGAGAGUAACUGUUCACGCAGUGACGGUAUCCAACCAGAAAGUCACGGCUAACUACGUGCCAGCAGCCGCGGUAAUACGUAGGUGGCAAGCGUUAUCCGGAUUUAUUGGGCGUAAAGCGAGCGCAGGCGGUUGCUUAGGUCUGAUGUGAAAGCCUUCGGCUUAACCGAAGAAGUGCAUCGGAAACCGGGCGACUUGAGUGCAGAAGAGGACAGUGGAACUCCAUGUGUAGCGGUGGAAUGCGUAGAUAUAUGGAAGAACACCAGUGGCGAAGGCGGCUGUCUGGUCUGCAACUGACGCUGAGGCUCGAAAGCAUGGGUAGCGAACAGGAUUAGAUACCCUGGUAGUCCAUGCCGUAAAC
rnacentral:rRNA from 1 species